UGCCUGUGGCUAAGCGUGGCUGGUGCCCUUUCCUUCAGAACUGAAUGUGCCCGGUGAGCCAGAGUCUGCUCUGGUGCCUUAGAUGAGGCCUCUAACUGCCUUGCACCCAGCGUGGUCGGUGGGCAAUGCGCGUGGGCCCCCAGCGUGCACGUUCCCUCUGACUGCUCGGCCCCGACCCUCGGGGCUCCCGUCCCGUGUGGCUGUUGGAGCCCAGCAGGGGUUAAACCACCCACCGCAGAGUCUGAAGUUACCAGAACCGAGCGUUGUUGUUCCGAUGGGGAGCCGAAGCCCAGAGGGCGGCGGGGCAUUGGGGGAGGUCACGUGCUGAGUGGUGCCACUCGGAAACGAGUGUCAGCUCUCCCGUCCCCUCUCCACGGCUUCGGCCCUGGGCCGGGACCCGAGACAGCCCGGCACGGCCAGUGCUGCACAGCGUGCAGGCCAGAGGGUCAAGGUGAAGGGUCAGGAGGCCUUCUCUGUCCCCAAGACCCCCGUCAGGAGACGGGAGCCCGGAGGGGAGCACGGCCUGGGCCCGUCUGCCAUCUCCGGGCGGCGCUGGAAAUUCCUCCAGGCGUCAGCUCCCGGGACUGAUUCGUUCGGGGCCGAGGUCACAGUCUGUGACCGGGGCACACGGGCGUUUGGUCCGCGGGUUAGAGGCUCAGUUGCCCCAAGCGGCUGGGAAGGCGAGGAGGGCGGAACCCGCUGGUGAGAGGAGGUAAUUGUUCGUGCGCGGAAAUCGUGCUGCAAACCGCCAAGUGUCAGCAGGUGAGCGGGCGUCCGCGUGUUUUCGUCCCGGCGAUUUAUUCGGCAGAUCUCUCAAUCCGUGGCAAAGUGCUGUUGCCGUGAGGGCUUGAUGGUUUGUUUUUUCUGCUUAAGCAAAACAUAAAUUAUCUGGCCCAUUAAUAUCCGGGCGCUUUAAUCCAUUAUUAGAGGAGAAAAGUAAAAAUCCUGCACGAAGAUGAAUGUGUGCUUUUAAGGUGAUUAAUAAUGCGCAGCCCCCGGCACAUCCAUCACUCUGCCGAUGGCCCCGGCCGGGAAGGGAGGACGGCUACGGGCUGGGAAUCCUGCGGGCUGCCGCUGCUCAGUGCCUCGUCUGUCCUCGGCCCCUGCCCCCAUCUCCCCUCCUCCAGAGCCCUCCCCAGCUCCCUGGCUCCUUGCCUUCCCCGUAAAAGCCAAGCUUCCGGCGCUCGGCAAACUGCGGGCCAGGGCACCUACUAUGUGCCCGGCCCGGCACCGAGGGCAAGGCCGGAGAGCCUGGGUCCGGUCCGAGUCUCUGCCCUCAGAGGAUUUUCUGUGCAUUCGAGAGAGGACCGCCCAUGGAGAGGAAUCAGGUGCUGUGCCCGCUCGGCAGGCUGCAAGGACCUUCGGAGCUGGGUGGUCAGGGAGUGCCUCCUGGAGGAGGUGGAUGAGAAAUGCGUGCUAAGCACAAUGAAAGAUGUGGAUUCUGGAGCCCCGCUCUGUGCUGAGCAUCCCGCCGGGGCUCCUUGUCACGAUACUGAGUCCAUCCAGUCGCCCUGCGAGGUCGCGUCUGGUGACAAGACCUUGGCCUCUGGAUGGAGAGCUGUGGCUUACAGUUAAAAAAAAAAAGAAAAGAAAAGAGAAGAAAAGAAAAGAAAAGAAAGCUAUUUGGUUUUCAUCUAAAACUCAGAGUCCCUUGGGCACUCUGUAGUCUGGCAGGUGCCUAUGGGAGAGGCCGGAUUGGUCCUGCUUGAGUCACGUGCCCUCCGUUUGGACCAAUCCCGAAUGCUACGGGCACCAGUGACAGUCACAACAGAGUUCACUGCAGUGAGAGGCAAGGCCGACCGGUCGGGACCGACGCUCUUGAUAAGAGUGCGGCCCCGAACAGCCGGGGUACAGAGUUUUUAAGGCCCAUCACAUCGUUUUAUCAUUACCUGGGAACAGAACAGAGAAAUAGUUCCCAGAUGAGUUAGAAACAGUUUCCAGAUGAAUUAGAAACAGUUGUCAGACGAGUUAGAAACAGUUGCCAGAUGAGGUGAUUAUUUCAGACUUUCUGCCGCCAAGUUGCAACCAGUGGAUCUCUUUGAACUUGCCUCUGAUGCUCUUUUCUUUGAGUUUUUGUUUCCUUCAUUGGUGAAGCCUGAUUCACAAGAGUAUGAAGCGGACUUUACAAGAGUAAAGCAAGGCUGUUAUCUCUUGACCUUCAGGGUCAGAACGAAGCUGUUAUUUUUCAAGCUACCUUAGCCCUACACUACAAUUUAACCCUGACACACCCACGCUGUCCACGUGUGCUGAGAAGUCCUGCAUCACGACAGUAAUGUGUUCACGGUGGAAUCCCUGGAAAAUGUCAAGCACGAGAAGCUAGCUGAUGCCUGCCCCCAACCCCGUCUACUAUCACUUAUGACUAUUAUUGAUACUUCGCUGUUCAUAUUUACGUAUUUGCCACAUAUAAAUAAGCACACAACUUAAUAAUGUAUAUUACGAAAUUUGCAUUAUUUUAUAGACUGCCUUCCCCCCCCCCCCCAGUUAAUGAACUAUUAUGAAAAAUUGUCAUUGCUCUGAGCGUUCUUUGCAAAGAUUAUGUCUAAUGGCUCAUACGUUCCAUCGUAUAGAUGCAAUUUCAGGCAUUCGGUCAAUUAUUAUGCAUUUGGAUAAUUUUUUCCAAAGUUUUAGUUUUAUAAAUAAGUCCUUGAUGAGCACCGUUGUGCAUAAAUUUUUGUGCGUAUCUGUUUUUUUCCCCUACGUCCAUAUCGCUGUGAGUGGAGUUGCUGGUUAAUUUUUUGUGUGUGUGAGGAUUUUGAUUAUGGUAUGGAGGUGUCAUACGGUAAUGUGAUAUAUAUGUGUAUAUAUAUGUCAUAUGAAGUGCCAAAAAAUAUUGUGUUCUGUAAAAUCAUGCAGUAAACAUGACAUGACUUAUGGGAGAAAAUGUGUUUAAGGCAGAUCACUGAAAAUUAUGUUCUGUUGUAACCACAACACUAACAAAAAACAACCAUCUUAAUAAA